ACUCAAAGGAAUAGACGGGGGCCCGCACAAGCGGUGGAGCAUGUGGUUUAAUUCGAUGCAACGCGAAGAACCUUACCUGGAUUUGACAUCCUCGGACAUCCCUAGAGAUAGGGCUUCCCCUUCGGGGGCCGAGAGACAGGUGCUGCAUGGCUGUCGUCAGCUCGUAUCGUGAGAUGUCGGGUUAAGUCCCUUAACGAGCGCAACCCUUAUCCCUAGUUGCCAUCAUUUAGUUGGGCACUCUAUGGAGACCGCCGGUGUUAAACCGGAGGAAGGUGGGGAUGACGUCAAGUCCUCAUGGCCCUUAUAUCCAGGGCAACACACGUGCUACAAUGGCCGGUACAAAGGGUCGCUAACCCGCGAGGGGGAGCUAAUCUCAUAAAGCCGGUCUCAGUUCGGAUUGAAGUCUGCAAUUCGACUUCAUGAAGCUGGAAUCGCUAGUAAUCGCGGAUCAGAACGCCGCGGUGAAUACGUUCCCGGGCCUUGUACACACCGCCCGU
rnacentral:rRNA from 1 species